rnacentral:sRNA from 1 species
AGAGCCCGUGUUGUAGUCAAUCCAUCUACCACCGCAAGUGCAUACAGAAAUAUGCCCACACAUCAGCAAAGCAUUUCUUCAAAUGUCCACAGUGUAACAAUCGAAAAGAGUUUCCUCAAGAAAUGCUGAGAAUGGGAAUUCAUAUUCCAGACAGAGAUGCUGCCUGGGAACUCGAGCCAGGGGCUUUCUCAGACUUAUAUCAGCGCUAUCAGCACUGUGAUGCCCCCAUCUGUCUGUAUGAACAAGGCAGAGACAGCUUUGAGGAUGAAGGGUAGGGGAAGGCUUCUGGCUAGAAAGAGCUCUCAUCAGUGCUAUCUUAGAGUUAGACCUUGGCACAGUUAUUAGAAGUAAGAAAUUCACUCUUGUAUGCAGACCUUAGGAUAAACAUGAUUGCUGAGUCUCAUUCUUGACCAGCCCCUGACUCACUUGUGUGCAAGUGAACAGGUCUCCCCUGCAAGGUCCGCUUCACCUUGUGCCCAGUGGAGAGACAUUCAGAGCCAAUUCCUUUCCUAAUCUACCUUUCAAGGGGUUACAACUGAUGGCAGGCUUCCGGGAUCAGCACUCAUCCUCUCUGAGCCAUACAUUCAUCUUGGGUAAAAUGCGCUGUAAAAAAUGCCUGGCCCGUAGCAAACAUCCAAGAAUGGCAGUUGGUGUUCUGUAUGUCUCCACAACCCUUCCUGGGCUCUUCCUCUAGGAGGUGGUGCCUCAUUCUGUGUGCUACAUGCGGAUCCCACGGAACCCACAGGGACUGCUCCUCUCUUAGAUCUAACAGUAAGAAAUGGGAGUGUGAGG